ensembl:lncRNA
GUUCUAAGGCCUCUCCCUGCUCUGACAUCCCCAGUUCUAAGGCCUCUCCCAGGCCUGACAUCCCCUGUUCUAAGGCCUCUCCCUGCUCUGACAUCCCCUGUUCUAAGGCCUCUCCCUGCUCUGACAUCCCCUGUUCUAAGGCCUCUCCUGGCCCUGACAUCCCCUGUUCUAAGGCCUCUCCCGGCACUGACAUCCCCUGUUCUAAGGUCUCUCCCGGCCCUGACAUCCCCUGUUCUAAGGUCUCUCCCGGCCCUGACAUCCCCUGUUCUAAGGUCUCUCCCGGCCCUGACAUCCCCUGUUCUAAGGCCUCUCCCUGCUCUGACAUCCCCUGUUCUAAGGUCUCUCCCGGCCCUGACAUCCCCUGUUCUAAGGUCUCUCCCGGCCCUGACAUCCCCUGUUCUAAGGCCCCUCCCGGCCCUGACAUCCCCUGUUCUAAGGCCUCUCCCAGCCCUGACAUCCCCUGUUCUAAGUUCUCUCCCAGCUCUGACAUCCUCUGUUCUAAGGUCCCUCUCAGCUCUGACAUUCUCUGUUCUAAGGCCCCUCCCUGCUCUGACAUCCCCUGUUCUAAGGCCUCUCCUGGCCCUGACAUCCCCUGUUCUAAGGUCUCUCCCUGCUCUGACAUCCCCUGUUCUAAGGCCUCUCCCGGCCCUGACAUCCCCUGUUCUAAGGCCCCUCCCUGCUCUGACAUCCCCUGUUCUAAGGCCCCUCCCUGCUCUGACAUCCCCUGUUCUAAGGCCCCUCCCUGCUCUGACAUCCCCUGUUCUAAGGCCCCUCCCUGCUCUGACAUCCCCUGUUCUAAGGCCCCUCCCUGCUCUGACAUCCCCUGUUCUAAGGCCUCUCCUGGCCCUGACAUCCCCUGUUCUAAGGCCUCUCCUGGCCCUGACAUCCCCUGUUCUAAGUCCUCUCCCUGCUCUGACAUCCCCUGUUCUAAGUCCUCUCCCUGCUCUGACAUCCCCUGUUCUAAGGCCUCUCCCUGCUCUGACAUCCCCUGUUCUAAGGCCUCUCCUGGCCCUGACAUUCUCUGUUCUAAGGCCCCUCCCUGCUCUGACAUCCCCUGUUCUAAGGCCUCUCCCGGCCCUGACAUCCCCUGUUCUAAGGUCUCUCCCGGCCCUGACAUCCCCUGUUUUAAGCUUGCGUCUCCCUCUCAGUGCUCUGAUGCUGUGGCUGGAAGGCGGUUUCUGGCCGGCCGCGGGCUCCUGGGACAGCGCCGGUGAUCCGGUGAUCCGCUCUGGCUCUGUCCUCCCUCGUGCCUGGGCAAUCCCCUGCGCAGGGUGUGAGGAGGCUUCCUGCACCCAAAGGCCCAAGCAGGGCGCCAGUGCGUGGCCGUCGGGCCACUCUCGCCUUCCGGGGUCACGGCGGUCCGAUGAGCCGCUCUGGGGGGCAGAUAGAGGGGGCGAAGGCCGGGCAGAGGCUGAGCGGGAGUCAGUCCAAGCCGAACAAAGGCUCACCUCCUCUGGUCAGCGCGUGACAAAACAGACAAGACAGCAGCAGCUGGGUGGCUCAGGGGAGAGAGCCCAGCCUGGAGAGGGGGGCAGGCCUGGGUUCCAGCGUGGCCUCAGGCUCUUCCUCACUCCCCUGGGCAAGUGGCUUCGCCCCUGGCCUGGCCUUCCCGCUCUCUGCCUGGGACGAUGCUCCACACUGUCAAAGGCCUCCCUUUUGUCUCAGAGACGCCAAGUACGACUUCCAGGGCCGCAAAGGAAGGGAGGGCUUAAGAACCCCCAGAGAGGUCGGGGCCGCCCAGGGGGAAGAGGUGGGCCUCGUCUGGGGAUCCCCUCUAGCGCCCUUCUGUCCCCCUGCCACCAAGCAAGACCUGCCCGGGGGUGGGAGAGAAACUGCAGAGACCCGGAGGAGCUGCCCCGAGCCUGGGGAGCCCCUGAGCCGGCACCGGGGCGUCGGGAGGCUACCGAGAGAAGACGGCCCAGGAACGGGCGGGAGAGUGGGAGGCCGAGAGGGCCGGAGACAGGCGUGAGUGCGGAGGCUUCUGGGAGAGACGAGCCCAGAGCGGGCAUCCCCCGGCACGGGGCUCCGGGGAUUCCACGUUGGAGCCAGGGAGAUGGAAAAGGGGGCAGGGCCGACGUCUGUUAUAGAUGGGCAAACUGA